rnacentral:rRNA from 1 species
CCUGGCUCAGGACGAACGCUGGCGGCGUGACUAAUACAUGCAAGUCGAACGAGAGCGACCGGUGCUUGCAAUGGGCAAUCUAGUGGCGAACGGGUGAGUAACACGUGGGUAACAUGCCCAUCAGAGGGGGAUAACAUUCGGAAACGGAUGCUAAAACCGCAUAGGUCCUUUAAUCGCAUAGUGGAAGGAGGAAAAGAGGCGCAAGCUUCUGCUGAUGGAUGGACCCGCGUUGCAUUAGCUAGUUGGUGAGGUAACGGCUCACCAAGGCCGUGAUGCAUAGCCGACCUGAGAGGGUGAUCGGCCACAUUGGGACUGAGACACGGCCCAAACUCCUACGG